UGAUUCUUAGUCAACGAUUGCAUGGUA
rnacentral:sRNA from 1 species